GCUGGGCACAGUGGCGCAUGCCUGUAAUCCCAAUGGCUUGGGAGGCUGAGGCAGGAGGUUCAUGAGUUCAAAGCCAGCCUUGGCAAAAGACAGGCACUAAGCAACUCAAUGAGACCCUGUCUCUA
rnacentral:sRNA from 1 species